rnacentral:lncRNA from 1 species
GUAGGGCUGGGCAGUAGUUUUACCCGUUGUCAGAAUCGAAUGUAGCCUUUCAUUUAAAAAGGCAAGGCCCCUAGCGAUAGGGGAAAGAAGAGAGGGAAUGCGGGCUUCUUUCACUCACUUGAGUUUUGUUUUGGAGAGAGCAUUGUGGAGCAGCAAAAGGCAUAAGGGGAGUCGGAAUGGAAUAUCGUAUGUAGUGUUGAAUCCAAUCUGAAGCUCUUUCGAACAAGCGAGGAACGAGUGACCACAAGCUCCGCUUAAGCGCUCGACAUGCAGUUAGCUUAAAACAUGUUCAUCAUGUGGUCGAGCGAAGCGCACCUCUGUGA